GUUUCCGUGGUGUAGUGGUCUAUCACGUCUGUCUAACACUCAGAAGGUCCCCAGUUCGAACCUGGGCGGAAACA
rnacentral:ncRNA from 11 species